CCUACGGGAGGCUGCAGUGGGGAAUAUUGGACAAUGGGCGCAAGCCUGAUCCAGCAAUGCCGCGUGUGUGAAGAAGGCCUGCGGGUUGUAAAGCACUUUAAGCAGGAAAGAAGGGGUGAAAGUUAAUACCUUUCAUCAUUGACGUUACCUGCAGAAUAAGCACCGGCUAACUCCGUGCCAGCAGCCGCGGUAAUACGUAGGGUGCGAACGUUAAUCGGAAUUCGUGGAGGUGAAUUGAUCAGAGGCGGGUGGAAGCCCUGGGCGUAACCUGGGAACUGCGGUGGAUACUGUCGGGCUAGAGUGUGGUAGAGGGGAGUGGAAUUUCCGGUGUAGCAGUGAAAUGCGUAGAGAUCGGAAGGAACACCAGUGGCGAAGGCGGCUCCCUGGACUAACACUGACGCUGAGGUGCGAAAGCGUGGGGAGCAAACAGGAUUAGAUACCCCGGUAGUC
rnacentral:rRNA from 1 species